rnacentral:rRNA from 1 species
AGUUUUGAGCUAAAUAUAUUUAUAAUAUUAGUUAUUUAUGAAGGUGUUGUAAAACUUUAUUUAAAAUUAUAUUUAGGGGUGAUCGGCCUUUCAAAAACUAAGAUAUCUUGAAUCUAAUUAAAAGUAUGUAGUACAAUUAACACAAUAUUAAGUGAUUAGGUUUAUAGAAUUAUUAACCUAUAAGAUUUUAUUUACUAUAAUUUAAUAAUUAAGUAUAUAAAUAUAUUAAUAUACAUAUAUUAUAGUUUAUAAAAGAGUGAUUAGAUUGAAUUAAGUUCAUAUUUCUUAUAAUAAUGUUAAUAUUAGUAUUAAGAUUAUAUUUAUAUGAUGAACUCGGCAAAAAUACUUCUCAACUGUUUAUCAAAAACAUAACUAUGUGAUUGAAUACAUAGCGGUUUCUGCUCAA